rnacentral:rRNA from 1 species
CCUACGGGAGGCAGCAGUGAGGAAUAUUGGUCAAUGGCCGGAAGGCUGAACCAGCCAUGCCGCGUGAAGGUCAGUGCCCUAUGGGCGUUAAACUUCUUUUGUGCGGGAGCAAUAAUGGUCACGUGUGGCCAGACGAGAGUACCGUACGCAUAAGCAUCGGCUAACGCCGUGCCAGCAGCCGCGGUAAUACGGGGGAUGCAAGCGUUAUCCGGAGUUAUUUGGUGUUAAGGGUGCGUAGGCGGUGAGGUAAGUCAGCGGUGAAAUGCUCCGGCUCAACGGGGUGAAGUGCCAUUGAUACUGCCUUGCUGGAAUGCGGAUGCCGUGGGAGGAAUGUGUGGUGUAGCGGUGAAAUGCAUAGAUAUCAUACAGAACACCGAUUGCGAAGGCAGCUUAUCAAACUAUAUCUGACGUUGAGGCACGAAAGCGUGGGUAGCAAACAGGAUUAGAUACCCCUGUAGUC